AGGACAUCACCGUCAAACAAUGACGAAUCAACUCCAAUAGAUCGUAGUGACCCAUUAUUCGACGAAUUUGACAUGAUGCACGGACCAACUGAAUGAUUUAUGUUUCUAUUAAACAAAAUCCGGUUGUUAUGAAGACUAAUGAUCAGGUGAAGUUUUCUAGAUUCAGUUUUUAUUAUUAUUAUUUUUUUGUUCAUGUCCACCGAUGAGCUCUUACUAUGUCUACUGGUAAUUGAAAUGAAAAUUUGCUUGGUUUCAUUCUUGCAUGAAAUUUGGACAUAUGUUAAUUUUAC
rnacentral:lncRNA from 1 species